GGGGGUGUAGCUCAAUGGCAGAGCGGCCGUCUUAUACACGGCGUGAGCGCUGGACCAGCGUACGAUCUCGGUUCGAUUCCGGGCACCCCUACCA
rnacentral:tRNA from 2 species